rnacentral:rRNA from 1 species
UACAGAGGGUGCAAGCGUUAUCCGGAUUUACUGGGUUUAAAGAGUGUGUAGGCGGUGCUCUAAGUCUGUUGUGAAAUCUCCCGGCUUAACCGGGAGGGUGCGGCGGAAACUGGAGUGCUUGAGGGUGGGAGAGGUAAGCGGAAUUCCUGGUGUAGCGGUGAAAUGCGUAGAUAUCAGGAGGAACACCUGUGGUGUAGACAGCUUACUGGACCACUUCUGACGCUGAGACACGAAAGCGUGGGUAGCAAACAGG